CCUACGGGAGGCAGCAGUGAGGAAUAUUGGUCAAUGGACGAGAGUCUGAACCAGCCAAGUAGCGUGAAGGAUGACUGCCCUAUGGGUUGUAAACUUCUUUUAUAAAGGAAUAAAACGAGGCACGUGUGCCUUUUUGCAUGUACUUUAUGAAUAAGGAUCGGCUAACUCCGUGCCAGCAGCCGCGGUAAUACGGAGGAUCCGAGCGUUAUCCGGAUUUAUUGGGUUUAAAGGGAGCGUAGAUGGGUUGUUAAGUCAGUUGUGAAAUUUUGCGGCUCAACCGUAAAAUUGCAAUUGAUACUGGCAGUCUUGAGUACAGGUGAGGUAGGCGGAAUUCGUGGUGUAGCGGUGAAAUGCUUAGAUAUCACGAAGAACCCCGAUUGCGAAGGCAGCUUACUGAACUGUGACUGACAUUGAUGCUCGAAAGUGUGGGUAUCAAACAGGAUUAGAUACCCGAGUAGUC
rnacentral:rRNA from 1 species